rnacentral:lncRNA from 1 species
AGGGCGCUGACGAGUCCCGCCGAGCCCCGCCGCCCGGGUUCAAGGCCGCCUUCACGCCCACGAUUCCUUGUUUUUUGGGCAGAGGUCAAGGCUCAACGGAGAGGGAGCCCGGGACCGAGUUGUGGUGGGAGUUUGCUCCUAACACCCGCGAAAUCCUACCUCAAUUCCUCAGAUGGCCUGAGGGAGAAACCGGAGGGCCCGGGAAUGGCGGGGAGCUCCAGUUCAGAGCCGGAACUCCGGACUUCUGCAAGGCCAGACGUGAGGCGACACUGAAUUGCUCCCGAGACGCGGGAAGGGCGAAGGCAAUCGAAGCGAAGAGCUUUAACUCAUCUUCUCCAGGAUUUGGGGCACGGGAACCUGUCUCCUGACCUUCGUGCCUUACCUCGGAGUGUGCUGCCCAGACGGACUUGUGAAUAGCUGCGUCUGUCCCCAUAGUUAACGGGAGAAGGAAACACCAGGAGAAAAGAAGGAAAAGACAGGAAACGGGAAGAGGAGCAGAGGCGAGGAAGGGGAAGGUCAUUUCCUUGGCAGGGUAGGCCCUCUUUCUUCUAGGUCUUGAGUUCCUGCCAGGCAAGAAAUGCUCUUUCCCCUCUCCUGAUGAACACCAGGUUGGAGGGGGAGGAACUGAAGAUGCGGGAAGACUUGGGGAGUUCGGGCAAAGUAGCACAUUCAAGCAUGAUCUAUUUUUAUUUACGGACAGAAAGAAAUAUUAGUUCUGUUAGGUUCCACCGAGUAAACUAUUUGUUGAGAGAGCAAGAUUUGCCAAUCCUGGGGGUAUUAAGGAAAGAAAAGGUGGUCCCUGACCUAUGGGAUACAUGAUUCUAGUAUGAAUACGUAAUUACAGGAUGAAUAAUGAAGCCCACCGCUUAUGCAGUACUGACUGUGUGCUUUGCCUGUGCUGACACCUAUGUUAACGCAUUUAAUUAUCAACACAAUCUCUGGAGUGUGGGUAGCCUUACCCCAAUUUUACAGGUGAGACCUGCAGCACAGAUUGCUUAUGUGGCUUGCUGUAGGUCAGGCAGCUGUCAAGCAGCAGACUCCAAAAUCUGGGCCCUUAACUGAGCUGCCUCUACCAUGCUGCCUCUAGAAAAUCUAUGGAAGAAGGGUUGUAUUAAAAGGACAGUGUAACGUCUUGAAUUGUAUAGAUUAGAGUUCUUGUUAAGAUGACUAAUGUUAAAAGAGUGCAAGCAGAGGAGGAAUCGAAGUCAGGAGGGCUCACAGAGCUGAGGGGCCUGGGGUGUGAUGUAGACAUGCAUGCAGGGUUUGGGAGUCAGGCUGCCUGGGUUUGGAUCCAGCCUAGAUAAAGUACUCAGCUUUAUUGAGCUACAGAUUCCUCUUCUGUAAAAGAACGUCCACCUCAUAGGUAGCUUAAAAUUAAAUGUGAUAAUGAGUGUCAAGUGCUCUGCACUGUGCUUGAUACGUUUUAUGAAGUCAGUAAAGAUUAACCACUAAUUAAUUCUGAACUUUGCUUGAGAUUGUAGGCUCCUGUGGGAAGGACUCCAUCGCAUUGAUCACUGGGUUUUCCCGUGCCAUCCAUAGAACUUUGUGCUUAAUAAUGACUCAAUAAAUAUGAUUAGAUGGAUGGAUGUAAAAUAUGGACUUGGGAGAAAGAAAAAUUAGAAGAAUAAAAAAUAAAUGGAAUGAAUAAUGAAAUAA